CCUACGGGUGGCUGCAGUGGGGAAUAUUGGACAAUGGGCGAAAGCCUGAUCCAGCCAUGCCGCGUGUGUGAAGAAGGCCUUCGGGUUGUAAAGCACUUUCAGUGGGGAAGAAAGCCUUGGGGCUAAUACCCUCGAGGAAGGACAUCACCCACAGAAGAAGCACCGGCUAACUCCGUGCCAGCAGCCGCGGUAAUACGGAGGGUGCGAGCGUUAAUCGGAAUUACUGGGCGUAAAGCGCGCGUAGGCGAUCUGAUAAGCCGGUUGUGAAAGCCCCGGGCUCAACCUGGGAACGGCAUCCGGAACUGUCAGGCUAGAGUGCAGGAGAGGAAGGUAGAAUUCCCGGUGUAGCGGUGAAAUGCGUAGAGAUCGGGAGGAAUACCAGUGGCGAAGGCGGCCUUCUGGACUGACACUGACGCUGAGGUGCGAAAGCGUGGGUAGCAAACAGGAUUAGAUACCCGUGUAGUC
rnacentral:rRNA from 1 species